GAUGAACGCUGGCAGCGUGCCUAAUACAUGCAAGUCGAGCGAACAGACGAGGAGCUUGCUCCUCUGACGUUAGCGGCGGACGGGUGAGUAACACGUGGAUAACCUACCUAUAAGACUGGGAUAACUUCGGGAAACCGGAGCUAAUACCGGAUAACAUGUUUAACCGCAUGGUUCAACAGUGAAAGACGGUCUUGCUGUCACUUAUAGAUGGAUCCGCGCCGCAUUAGCUAGUUGGUAAGGUAACGGCUUACCAAGGCAACGAUGCUUAGCCGACCUGAGAGGGUGAUCGGCAACACUGGAACUGAGACACGGUCCAGACUCCUACGGGAGGCAGCAGUAGGGAAUCUUCCGCAAUGGGCGAAAGCCUGACGGAGCAACGCCGCGUGAGUGAAGAAGGUCUUCGGAUCGUAAAACUCUGUUAUUAGGGAAGAACAAAUGUGUAAGUAACUAUGCACGUCUUGACGGUACCUAAUCAGAAAGCCACGGCUAACUACGUG
rnacentral:rRNA from 1 species